GCCUGCAUACAGGGGAGAGAAAAUUGUCCCAAGGGCAUCUGUGGCAAAAAAGAAGAACCUUGUGCAUGGGAAAGCACAAGGGAAGUGUUCCUACUGAGGGAGGCCUAACUCAAGAGAAACUGGAAUUGGAAACAGCCACUUCUUCCAUAAACAGCCACCAGCUAUUAAAGAAGACCUGUAUGUUGAAAUACUUACCUCUACUUUCAAAUAGUCAUAACUGAAAACCCUGGCAGUUAUUCAGGACAAAGUCCAGCAGAAACUACAGCUUAUGGAUCUGCAAAGUGUAAAUGAGACAGACAUCACACGCAUGCCCAGCUCUCUGAUUGCUUCCCCCAGCUCUCUGAUCAUUUCCCCAGCUCUUCCUGGGGGGCACGGGCCCCCGAUCUUCACGCGAAAUGUCAAAACGUGUCAAAACAGCGAAACAGUUUUGAUGAAACAAAAUGGAACAGUGCUUCAAAACGAAAUGAAACAAUGAAACACUGUCCCUUUCAAAUGGCCAGACUGAAGUUGAAAUGAAAUGGUGCUGUUUCACACAGCCCUACAAAAUACAGCCAUGGAGGCACCAAAUGUCUGAACCCAGUCUGGACUUUGGAUUCUGUUUCAGUGCCCUAAAGACGGGUGGAAGUUCUGGGAAGCCUCCACUCCUCCAAAAAACUCCUGCCUACAUGCAUGAAUCAAAAGUCUGGGUGAUCUCUCAUGUAUUCACCAUGAUCCGGAAGGAUCGGUGCCUGACAAAUUAUAGAUUCCUA